rnacentral:lncRNA from 1 species
GAACUUGGAGGCCUGUGAAAACAGCCGCGGGGUGGGGGGAAGACAGUCUGGCUGCCUCCACUGAUCACUGCGGCCCCAGCGCAGGAGAGGAAAUGGAAGCCACCCUCAGUCUCAGGAACCAGCCGCAAAAAAGUGAAAAGUAACGGAAUACUCCUAUACAGACAAAGCAACACAAAGGCAAAUGGAUUCCUGAAUCUGGAGUAUAGCCACAGGGUGGUCUGCGGGGGGAGCUCUCCCUCUUACUGCCAGGCUGCACAAACUGCACCGAAGAUGGUAAUUCGGCCUCAUUUUUAUAUAUAUAUUACAGUGGACCUGCUACAGUCUCGUGAAAAUAUUUCUGAGCUCAGAAGACUACAAGGGUUUUUUUAAUUCUGAAAUAAUUCUGCUUGGGUCUUGAUAACUCCCAGCAGAUCCUGAGGGAGAAGAGAUGAUACCAUGACCCAGAUCAUACGCAGGUGAUUCAGCCUGAAGAGUAUCAUAAAGGCUGAGCUCCCACUCCUAGGGAAUCCUCAUCACCUUAGUACCUCACCAUCUUAAAAAGACUGUAUUCAUCCUCACAGCCCGCUGAGAGAAAGGGAGGUAUCACCCCCAUUUACAUUUGGCGAACUGAGAGACUAGGCAACUUGACCAACGUCAUCAUGCACAGGAAGCCCCUGGCAGAGUAGAAAAUUGAACAUAGGUCUCUUGAGUCUUAAGCACCCUAACCACUGGAUCAUCCUUCCUCUCUAUCUGCCAUGAGUUUUGCAACUGUAGUAUUGAGGUAAUGAUAUUUCCUUUAACGUUCUUUGAGCUCUAUAGAUGAACAGCACCGUAAAAGUGCUAAGUUUUAUUAUUUUAUUCUACUGUUAGUUAAAAGUGAUUUUAAGUUCAAGAAUACUCUUAAAUCCCAACUUCUGCAUUUGAAUAAUGGGUAAAACUGCUUUUCUGUUGUUUAUAUGACACAAUCCAUGAACAGUCAGGUUUGGUUUUGAAGUGUAAUGAAUUGUACUGACUGAUUUCUUGCUGUCUAAUUGGCAGUCAUAAAAUAAAUUCUAAUUUACUUAAUACA